rnacentral:RNase_P_RNA from 1 species
UCAGACGGCUGGGCGGCCGCGAGGGCUUUGGCUCUCGAGGAAAGUCCGGGCUCCAUGACGGCAGGGUGCCGGGUAACGCCCGGCCGGCGCGAGCCGAGGGAAAGCGCCACAGAGAGUAGACCGCCGCGGGCCCGCCCGCGGUAAGGCUGAAAAGGUGGGGUAAGAGCCCACCGCCGCCCCGGCAACGGGGCGGGCAUGGCAAGCCCCGCCCGGAGCAAGACCGAGUAGGGACGGCAUCGCAGCCCGCAAGGGUUGCAGGGCCCGCCGUCAGGCCCCGCCGUCCGGGUGUGUCGCUGGACCCGUCCCGCAAGGGGCGGGCGAGAGGAAUGGUCGCUCAGGGGUCGAAAGGCCCCGGACAGAACCCGGCUUACAGGCCGUCUGACGCC